UUUUUUUUUUUUUUUUUUUUGUCGACGGAGUGGGGUGUCCGGGUCAAGUCCGUAAAGGCGGCCCGACUAAUUCCCACUCCGGCCCGGUCCAGCACCCCAACCAGACCUAGCACGUUAAAUACACGGCGAACUGAUGUUGCUGCGGAGGUUCGACCCCAGGACCUAACGGUCCCGAGGAGGAGGCGCCAACCACCAGCCCAUUCACGUGUUGAUUGAUAGCAUAGAUGAGCAUAUUUUUGGUACUGGAUGACGUGGCAACCUUGGUGAAGCAAAUUGGAGAACCACGAAAAGAUGAGUCUAGAGCCUAGACUCGCAAAAUGGAAAAAAAAAAAAAAACCCAUUACUUUUUUCAAGUUUGUAAAUUCAAAUACCUUAGAAAUUAGUACCAUAAAUAUUAUUUAAAAAAAAAAAGAAAUUCAUUCCACAAUUUAAAUGAAAACAAAAAUUGAUCCGUAUAUAUAUAUUUUUAAAGUGUACGAGGUCGCCAUCGUACCUAUGCUUGGUCACCAGAUGGUGGAUCAAAAUCAACAUCUCCAGUUUGGCGAGGUCAUUUCCGGGACAGGCGUGGGCUCCACUGCCAAAUGGCAUGAAGGUGUUGGGCUUGGGGGCCACCUGAAUCAAAGGCCACCGCAAAUACAAUAAACAAAGUACUGUAGAAGAACAAUAAUAAUAAUCUCGAAAAACGAGAACCAUCAGUAAAAUUUGGUACUCAUUAGAAAGAAGAAACAAAAGUCGUGUGAUAUCUCCAAAAUCGGAUACCUCAAAUCUUGCAGGAUCAAAACUUUUGGGGUCCACGAAAUGGUCGGGAUUGUGAUGAAUAUUUCUGAAUAGCGGCAUCACCUUCCACCCUUUUGGUAUGAGAAAUCCUGUUUCAAUAUGAAUCAUGCACGAGUUAAGAUUUACUAUACGUACAUCCAUAUACAUGAAAAAUUGAAAAUACUAGCACUAUAAUAUGAUCAUUGAGACGAGGAAAUAAAUCGAGAAGUUUGUAUAUAACUAUAUCUAUAUAUGUAUAUCACAUGGUAAAAAGGUGUGAGUUUGGAACCUUACCAUCAUAUUCUACGUCAGUCACAGCUUCCCUGAAGGUGAAUGAUAUGAUGCUAGCCAUCCUUAAGCUUUCUAAUAUUACCUGCCAUUCCAAUUAGGAUGGUGAAUUUUGCUUAUCAGAGGAUCAGUUCAUUAAUCUUUCUCUCGAAUUGUCACCAUGGAGGAUAAAGUAAUGGGGAGUAGUAAUUACCUUGUGUGUCAGCGGCAUAUUUCUCGUUUGAGCCCAUGUCAAGGGUUGCUUUCCUUCUUGAUUUAAGGUCCAGACAGCCCUUUGCUCUAUCUGCAGCAAGAUUUUGGACGAAAAAUGAGACCACUGGUAUAAAAAUAAUUGGUCCGCGGCUUUACUGUUUUAUUUUACUAGCUAGAGUACUUCUUUUCUUGCCUAGCUAGAAGAGAGGAUCAAAAUGGUCAGGUAUUAAUUCACCUUGACAGCUUCUAAAAGUUUCUGGUUAUCGUGGAGGUACUUGAGAAUCCAGGUUAGGACACUAGCGGUUGUGUCUUGAGCAGCAAACAGCACUCCUAUGAUGUUGUCAGCGAUUUGAUCCUCUGUCAAAGUUUGCCCUCUCUCAUCUUUGAAGUUGAGCAGGUAACCCAACAGAUCUUUAUCCAAUAGCUUUUUCUGCUUCCUCUCACUGAUUAUUUCCCUUAUGAUCUGAUUCAACCUUUUCCUUGCCUUGCCAUAAUUCACCGUGAAAAAGACAAGACGAGUCAGCAAGAAAGCUCCUUUCCAAUUAAGGCAGCAACCUGAUCUCGAAGAGCUUAUCACCACUUACCAAUAGAGAUUUAUGAUACGCUGUUCCUGGCAAGUUUGUGGGAAAAGAAUUGUACCCUUUAUCUACAAUGGAAUAGUUCUCCUUUAGUGCGUUCUUAUACUUGAUUUCUAGGUGACCGAAGAUAGCAAGGAUGCCGACCUCAAAAGAUAACUGCGCAAGUUAGAUCCGCGAAAUCGUCAUGUCAUGUGCGAGGAAAAUAAUGAAACAUAUGACAAAUUGGAGGUCCCGGAAACCAUAAGGUUAGAAGGACCCAUCAAGAAAAAACAAAUUUCUAAGAGACCCCGUAUGAAAAUAGUCAAAUACUCUAGCUAUGCUACAAUGAACAAGACAACAAAGUCGUCAGGGCACUCUCCAAAAAUACCUUCUUCAUCUCAUGGAAUGUGUUGGUGAUCAGACCGGACUCCCAAGUUUGCAUGCAAGAAAUGAUUAUAGCUUCAAUAUCCGGAACCAGCUUUCGAAGGGCCUCUGGAGAUAACGAGUUAUGAACCAGCUUCUUCAAGUGAGUGUGGUAGUUUCCUUCGUGGAAAAACAAUGCCCAGGGGCCGAUCAUCGUCUCUUUACUCCUGGGAUAGGUUGGUUUGAACAAGUGAGAAUGAGUAACCAACACGAACCGAGAGGCUUCAGGGCUAGCCAACAUGAUACAAGGGCAGCCAAGUAUCUUGGUCUUGAACAUAUCUCCAUAUCUGUGCGUAAGAACAAGAAAAUCAUCAGCUCGUGAUCUCUGCAGUUUCUGGCAGCGGGACAUAAAUUUAAAGGAGGAUGUGAAAAUCAACUAGUGUUAAUAGCUAGCUGAGUCAUGCAAACCGUUUUUGCUUCUGAGCAAAGAAAACAUUCGGAUCUUGGGAGUACAAUUGAAGAGUCUCUCCUAUGUAAGGCCAUCCCAUAGAGCCAGGAGGCAACUUUGCUCUUCCUUUGUUUGUUCUCUCCUUGUUCUUCGAUAGGCAAUAAUAAAGAGCAGUAGAGAAAAGGAUGAGGAUGUAUAUAAGCGUAGAAACAAUAUUAUCCAUACGAGUUCUUUCUCCCUUUGCUCUCCCUUCUGUUCCUCUCCCGUUCUCCAAGCUGCAGUAUUCUAUGACCAAGCUUUGUUAAUUGUGUUUUUCUAUCGGAGCUUCAGGGGGUGGAUAAUGGAUGUACUGAGCAACGAAGGUAGUUGCCAAAUGAUGGCUUAGUCAAUGAGAAGGAUAGCGAAGGUUUAUGGUUUAUAUAGAAAUUGAGGGGCAAGGAGCAGAGGGAAAAGGACGGAUAUGGAUCUGAAUUUAAAUAAAGGGGCUUUGCCAAAUUUGGGUGAAAAGUCCUCCUAGCUGUUAAUAUGGCACUGUUGCAUUCACAAAUCACCCAAUGAUAAAGAAAGUUUUGGACCACUUUUAAGUUUUACCCUGAGAUAAACAUGAGCUAACUCCGGAGUUCGGAUAGAAAAUUUGAGGAUGAAAAGCGAUCGAGAAAGGAAAGCAUAUUGCUACCUUGUUUUUGUUUUGUUUGCUUGUUUGUUUGUUUGCUUUUUUUUUUUUUUUUUGACCUCCUUCUCUAGCUCAACGGAUUUUACAUUUUUACUUCAGAUUCCUUGCAACUAUGGUAUGUUAUUGGAAUUUACAUAUAGAACCAUGUAAAUAGUAUCAUUUUAACAGAAAUUACACGGUAUUAUCCUUCAUCGAAAUUUUGCUAAAUACUCUCUUCCAGCAAUUAAAUGAUAAGCAAAUUUAGCUCACGAGUAACCGAAAAGUCUAGCACUGGCAGGAGCGGUAUUGCCAUUGUGGGGGAUGACUUCUACUUGCUGUACCAUUUACGCCAACGAAAAUGUUGUAACCUAGAGCGUGUUUGAAUUGAGUAAUAUUUAAAAUAAUUAUCAUAACACUUUUUAUAUUUGAUAUAUAUGAAAUAAAAUGUGAUUGAAAAUAUACAAAUAUAUGUUAAAAAAAACGUGUUUAUGAUACAAGCAAAAUAAUAUUUUGACAAAAAAAAAUUUGUAUCAAAACGCACCAAUGUUUGGAUGAAAGACUACUUGAAAAGUUUUUUGAAAUAACAUUCUAGCAUUUUUUAAUUAAAAAAUGUGACAUAAAAACUUAAGUAGACAACAAGUUAAAGAUGCAAGCAAAAAAAAUUUAUAGAUGCUAAGACGUAUGAUCAAUUUAAAUGUCUCUUUUCAAAUUAGAAUUAACUUUCCCAUUCCCAAAGGGAUAUGAAUAAGGUCAUUUGGAUUGUGAGUUUUUGAAAAUUUUGUAAAAAAAAAAAAAAAAAAUACUGUAAUGAUAUUAUAUAUGUGAGGUAAAAAAAAGGAAUUGAAAAAUGUGCAGACAAAAUUUUUCUGUGAAAACUCGCAACCCAAACAAGGUCGUUUAUAUUUUUCCUCUCAUUUAUAUAUCUUAUUUGAUUGAUGAUACCAACCGUGGUGAAUAAGCUAAUAAUGUAUACAGCAUUAAAUUGUUGAUGCGAAAAAUUACUUGAUUUGUGAAGUAAAUUUGAAGUCGUUUGGCAGUAAUUUGGGUACGCUGAUGGCAGAAGUGAUCCAAAGAUGAGUAUAAUUUUAAAUCAGAGCCAACACAUUUACAAGUUAAGAGUUUGAAUGCUCAAUCCUAACAUUAAUUUGUUGCUAAAACUAACGUUGAUGAAUAUAUGGGGUUUACGCCAAAUUGUAGAAUUCGGAGAGGAGUAAAAUGUGAGGUUCCAGCUGAUGGGUAUUUUGUCUUUGGCCCCACAUUCUCAAUGCUUCAGAGUCGGACGACUGGAUUUGGUUGAUACUUAUAUGAUAUGGGGAAAUUAAGUUGCGUCUUCGAUAAGUUGAUUUGAAGUUUCAAUGAAACGGUUUAGACCCAAACUGCCUCAAUUUCACCAUGUCUGUCCCAAGUAAUAAAGGUCUGAUUUUCACCAAUUAAGCAUAUUUUGCUCAAAACAAAUGCUUGACAAGCUGUGACCAAAAGAAGUUAGGGGCUAACAUCACGAAAAAAUAGGUUUUACUAAAGGCUUAUUAUGAACUUAUUUAGUUAGAAAAAUAGUUAACAUGACUAUAGUUAAACAAUGAAUGGAGCUUCCUAGCAAAUGAAUAACCAGUCGAGCUUUAAGCAAAAUCGUAGAUUAGCUGUAAUACUUGUUUGAAAUGUGAUAAAUGUAAAAUAAAAAUGAUAAUUAAAUACAAAGUGAAAUAUUUUUGCAAAAAAAAAAAUACAAUACAAUCGAGGUCUAAACUUAUUGUCUGUGAGAGUUUUAGUGAUAAUAGAAGAAAUUGUAAAUAUAAGGUUUUGGAUUUAAAACUUCUUACUAGAAAAAAUACUUACAGUAACUGAAACAUUCAGUUAAACUGAUUGUUAUUAGGUUUAAAUUAAUUAUGAAGAUAGAUUGAGAAUGGCACGCGUACUUCAAACUAUAUCAAUAAAACCAUGAUAUGGGUAAGCUGAAUUAAUGUUAAGCCUCUAAAAAUAAGUGGUCUCUGGAAAUAAUUCCUGUAACACUUUUAGUGAUGUGAUGUAUGUGAGAUCAAAAGGUGGUUGGAAAUAUAAAAAGAUAGAUUGAAAAAUGUGUUUAUGAUGCAAUCGAAAUAUUAUAUGGGAUAAUUUGCUACCCAAUUAUAAUUGAUAAUUUAUAUCUCGUGAAAUUUAGAUUCUUGCAUUUUCUACCUCUGUCUUGUUAACAAAAAUAAAGGGAUAAUAUCAGAUACCUCCCCAAAUGGUUUCUUAUAAUAUCAUACAGUACCUCUUAGGUUUUGGAUUGACAUUUCUUAUAACAUUUUAACCCCUUUUGGGGGAAAUGCAAGAAAGUUAAAUUUUUUGUUUCAAUACUACCCUUAUAUUAUCCUACUUAUGAAGCUUACAACAACAAUAAAAAAUAAAAUAAGGUUAAAAAAAAGAUGAAAAUGUGAGAGGUUAUAAAUGCAAUAAUGAGUAAUUUUGUACACAUACAACAACUAUUGCUUAUAUAAUGCACAAUAUUUAACAAAAAAAAGCGAUAUUCCUAGAUAUAUAUUUGGUCAUUAGAUCAAUUUUUUUUAAAAAAAAUUUUUGACUUACUUAUAAAGUUUUUUUCUAUAAGUAGAAUUUGUAUUACGAAUCCUAUGCAUAUAGAGAUUAUUUUACUUUUUAGCACAACUCAAACUAUAUCAUGUAUUUUGACAUAUUUUCAAAAAAAAAAUUUAUUGACUUCCUUAUAACUAUCCACAAAAUUUUUAAAGGUGUUAAUUACUCACCAAAUCCUCCUAAGUAGCUAACUUUGACUAGAUUUAAUUUAUCUGAGUCAUUUGCGGUCCUCCCACAAUUUUGAUAUAGAUAAAUAUGGACUAUUAUUAGAUAACAAUUUGCAACCUACAAAUUUUUGUUUAAAAUUUUAUUUUAUUUGGCUUUUUGGCUAAAUAGUUAUUAAGGACAAGGGUAAUAUUGUCAAUUUAUGACCUUUGAUAAGAAUAUUUAGUCUUGUCAAGUUCACAGAGAAGGUAUGUGAGAUUUUAAAAAUCUCAAGAGAACUGAGUGAUAUUAUGAAAAACCUUAGAUGAUGUUUUUGAAAUUAUCUCAAAAAUAAAACUACAGCAAAAGGUGAACAUCAGGAAACGUGUUUGCUGUAUUUUAAAAAAUAAAAUAAAAUUUUUGUUCUACCCAAUGAGAAUGAUUCAAUUUUACUAAUGAAAUAUGGAGUUAGCAUGACAUAUAUAAUUGAAUAGUGAGUUUCUAAUUUAAUCUUGUACUAUAAUUUUGGAGGGAAAAAAUAUCAAGUUUGAUAAAAUACUAGAUGAAACUUGAUAAUAUUGUGAACAUUUAAUAUCUUUCCCACCGGGUCAGGUAAUGGUGAUUGGCAAUGGCGAUGCAAUAUCAUCAAAUAUGCCUCCCUCAUUUCUUGAAUCGAUCAUAGAACUCGUCUUUUAGCAAAUGAGGAAGGGAUCCUCCGGUUAUUCUGGAUUCCCGUAAAAAUUAUCAAGUCGAAGCGGGCAAUUAACCAGAAAUUUUCUUGCGCCUAUUGAAUUGUAGCAAUAUCUUUCCGCAAAACCUUUUGCACUUUCAUUCUAAGAACCGGUGGACGUAUAAAUAUAUACACUGACAGCAUAUAUGUUAUCAUUUUAAAAUUAAAAUUAUGUGUUAUAAAUCUAUCAAUAUUAAUGUACACUACAAAAUUAAUCCAAUUUUCAAAAGGCUCUAUGUUUUGAAUAAGCUCCUUAAUUGCAUGUGGUAUUAUACACGCAUAUUAAUAACUAUGACUGUCUCUCGCAUUUAUAUAUUUUUCUUAAAAUUUAACAAUUGAACUACAUAUUAUUGGGCAAGACAACAGUCUAGAGUGUCGCAACGCCUUUAAUGACGUAUCAGAAAGACGGCGCUAUAGCGUGGUCAUUCACGUGGGAGUGAUGGGGACCAGAUUAGGGGUGUGCAUUCGGUGCAAAUUCGGUAAUUCGGUGCACUGAAUUCGGUGAAUUCGGUUAUUCUACCUGUAAAAAUUUAAACCGUUUUCAAUUCCAAAUUGGGCAUAACCGAAUUCAUUCCGCAACCGAUUUCAAAUUUGAAAACGGUAAUGAAUUCGGUUAAACCGAAUUCAUCUAUGAUUUAUAAAUUAUUACUGAUUUGAUCCCUAAAUUUAUUCAUAAUUGAACACAUUACUUAUGUUCUAAUCAUUUUGUGGUUUAAUUGGCAUUUAUUUGAUCACUUUUACCUAGAAUUCUUAGUCUAUGAUUUAAGAAACACAUAAAAAGUGAUUAAUUUAAAUUAGAAUAAACCUUAGACUAUACAAUGAUUGGUGAUAAUUUAUGAAUUUAUAAUUUACAAUGAUUAAUUAUAAGCAAUAUUAGUUAGUAGUUACAAUGAAUUUAUAAUUUACACUGAUUAAUAAUAAGUAAUAUUAGUUACAAACUUACAAAUUACAAUGAUUAGUGAUAAGUUAUAUUAGUUACAAACUUAUAAUUUAUUUCAAAUCAAAAUAAAAACUUAUUUACUUACACAUGUUAUUGUGAAAGUCAAUACACUAAUACAUUGAUUUGUAAUUCACAUACAUUCACUUACAGUCUUACACUGCUUAGUUGUCUUGUCUAUACUUAAAGCCUUAAGAUUAGUAAAUAGAUAAUAUGAAUUUUAACUUAUUUGAUAACUUAUGCGUAAAAUCAUUAGUCUAUGAUUUAAGGAACACAUAAAAAGUGAUUAAUUUAAACUAGAAUAAACCUUAGACUGUACAACGAUUAGUGAUAAUUUAUGAAUUUAUAAUUUACAAUGAUUAAUAAUAAGUAAUAUUAGUUACAAACUUACAAAUUACAAUGAGUAGUGAUAAGUUAUAUUACUUACAAACUUAUAAUUUAUUUCAAAUCAAAAUAAAACUUAUUUACUUACAUAUAUUAUUGUGAAAGUCAAUACACUAGUACAUUGAUUUGCAAUUCAUAUGCAUUCACUUACAUUGCUAACUACUUAGUUGUCUUAUCUAUACUUAAAGUCUUAAGAAUUAAGAUUAGUGAAUAGAUAAUAUGAAUUUUUAUGUUAAAUAUGUAGAGUACACUAAUACUUGCAAGUUAGAGAUUACGCAUUCAAAUAUUCAAUAAUUCAAACAUGAAUGAUGUAUCAAAUUACCAAUAUCUAAAUUUAAUUACUAAUUAUGUUUAUUGUUUAAUAUUUAGUAUUAUACAUAUAUGUGUUAAUUAUUAUCUAAUUCUAGUCAUGUUACUCAUGUAUAAAAUAAUAAGUAUUAUAGUUAUCUUAUAUUGUUAUGUAUUACUAUAUAUUGGUAUUAUUAUAGUCAUAUAACAAUUAACAAAUACUAAAAUAAUAUAUUGUACAUUAUUAUAUAUUAUUAUUAUUAUAAGUACAUGAUAUGAUGAUAAAUUGAUAAUACCAUAUACUAAUUAUUAUUAAUAGCAUUUACCUAUAUAAUAUAAUAAAGUAUUAGUAGUAUAUACUAAUACUAAAUAACAUUUAUCUAUAUAUUAUAUAAUUUUAUAUACCAAUUUGGUAAUUCGAAUGCGGUAAUGCGGUACCCGAUUUCAAUUACCGAAUUUGAAUGCGAAAUCGGUUAUUACCUAAUUCAUAAUCUCAUUACCUAUUUCAUACCAUAUUAGAAUUCGGUGAAUUUGGUACGUACCGAAUUUGUACCAAAUUAUCAAAUACCCGAUUUCAAAUUACCAAAUUAAAUUUGAAAUCGGUUAUGAAUUCGGUAAAAACCGAAUUUGCUCACCCCUAGACCAGAUGGCAUCGGCGGUGUAGCAGUAGAGCCCGUAGGAUCUCAUACGUUCUAGAUCAGAUGGCGAUUACGUGACGUCCUAACUCGUAACUCCCCAGGGACACGAACCUUCGGGAGAAUGGGACCGGAGCGGAGAAGCUCUAAUAAGCGAGGAGUGGUAAUGCGAAGUCCGCUUCAGCCUUCAGGUAUCAGGUGGUAGGUAGUCGCAAUCAGAGAAAGCUGAACACGACACGUGUUGAAAUCUCUGUGUUUGAUUGCCGCCUCACCAGAAUGCACUGGUACUAUCGAUCCUGUGCGGGCGGGUCUUGACUAGUACAUUUAUAAAUUUUAAGGCACAGGCGUGAUGGCACAGGAGUCUUCUGUUUUGGCAAGUCGUCGGCUCCUCGUUUCACUAUUCUUGCCCUGUUCGAAGGGCGCCAAAACAUCCCUCUGCCUGCAUUUGUCUAAAUCUUUUUGCUACUUCAAGUAGUUUUUUUCUUUUUCUUUUUCUUUUCUGGUCGGCUUUCUCUUUUCUCUUUCUUUCUUCCACUUUUGGGUCGAUGUCGGUGUUUCAGGUAAAUAAAGAGAGAUUUUCUGAUUGUGUUUUUUUACGCAAAUGACAGAAUAUCAUAACAAGUACAGGAUUAAAUUAUCAAAUCAGGAUGACGCUGGAUUGUGUUAAAUGUAGUAUCUGUGGAAGAUCACACAAUUAUUUGUUUAGGCAUAAAAUGCAUUACUUACAAUCAAUCUACGAUAUAUAUAAUUUAAUAACAUUAUAAUUGGGCUUGUUCUCAGUUGUUCUAGAUUUUGCAAAAUUGAUUAUCAAAAGUGAUUAUAGAAUAUAAUCAGAAUCAGCAAAUUCUAGUUUGUUUGGAUACAGUAGUAUUAUUUGAAAUAAUUACUGUAUCACUUUUUGAUCACUUUUUGUGAUAUGAUAUAUGUGAGAUCAAAAAGUGAUUUGGAAUAUAAAAAGGUGGAUUGGAAAAUAUGUUUAUGAUGCAAACAAAAUAUUAUUUGACAUAAUUUGCUAUCCAAACACUUAUUCUGUUUUUUGAAUGAUUAUACGAAUGCUAACUUUUUUGGCUGUUAAAAAUCUGUAAUCUGAAUAUAAGAGCAAAUGAGAACAUCUCAAUUACUAAUUAUUCAUAACCAAAAUCUAUAUUUAGUUAAAAUAAUCAACCGAGAACAAGCUUAGAGAGAAUAAUCAAAAUCAAUAAAAGUUACUCUUUGGUUGAUUAUGAAUUACAAGGCCUUACCUUGUUUGGAUUGCAGUUUUCCGUCGGAAAAUUACGUCGUUUUCCGUGAUCACAUUUCCCUAUUACCUUUUUUCCUCACAUACAUCAAAUCGCUACAGUAAUUUUUCCAUGAAAAAUCAUGAGAAAUGCAAUCCAAACACAAGUUUUUCUAGUUAUUAAAAAGCUAUAAUCUGAACAACAAAAGUAAAAGAGAUGUGGGGUUGCACCUUACAAGCUGACUUGCUAAUAAAUGAAUUCACCACUGCCGUUGGCUUUUUCAUGGGAUGUUUGUGGGGUUGCAGGCCAUCAGAUGCAGUGCCUUAGAAACCGCUAACGUACGAAGGCAAAUAAAAUCUUUCGCCCAUGAUUAGAAGCGGUAUCGCAUCUAAAACUCAGUUUUACGGUGGUAUUUGUGAAUGACUGUUCCUACAUGAGAUAAGAAUUACAUGUUUCAGUUUUAAUGCAAUUGAGAAAGUGUAACGAAAAAAAAAAGAACCAAAAUCAACCUGGCGCCUCUAGGAAAUAUUUUGUAGAUUCUUUUCUUUAUAACUCAACAACUGAAACUGAAGGGGUAGUUGAAUGACAGUGCAUUGUACUUAUGGCCGUAGAGUUUUGUCAGUCCAUCACCGUGCACUGGAUCUCAACUCAAGGAUGUUCAGCUUUAAAGGUUGCUGAUUUUUGCUGGUGCCCCUCCCAAAAAUUCGCAAGCUUUAGGUUUUCUUUUCUAUUCACAUAUGAUUGGAUUUUUGACACAAAGAUUUGCAGGAAAGUACCACAUGUUGUAAAUUUAACAAUGUUCAAGACGAUAGGACAUUAACAUUCACUGAAGAAUAACAUUUCUGGGUCGUAUUGCUUUUCUGAAAUUAUUGUCAUUGUUACUAGGUGAUAUUAUUGGCUCUCUCUCCCACUACGUGAACUAAAAAGUCUAAUAACACCCAACACUAGUAUCAAAGUUCGAUGUACAACGCCGUCUUCCAAUAAGUUAUUAGGUGACAUUGGUUCUCUCUCGCACUCCAUGAACUAGAGAGUUCAACAACACCCAACACUACUAUAAACGUUUGGUUACAACUAGGGCUGCAAACGAGCCGAGUCGAGUCGAGUUUUGAGCUAAUCGAGCCGAGUCUCGACUAAAUUUUACUAAACUCGAGCUCGACGAGCCGGCAAUUUUCAAGCUCGAGCUCGACUCGAAUCAAGUCGAGCCGAGCUCGAGUCGAGCUCGAAAAAAAUAAAAAAAUAAUUAUUUUAUUUUUUAAAAAAUAAAUAAAAUAAUAUUUUUUUCUUAAUAAAUAAUAAAAUAUUAAGGAUAUAUACGUAAUUUUACUAUGAAAAUAAAAAAUAAAAAAAAAUAUAUAUAAUAUACGUAAUUUUAUUAUUAAAUAAUAUAUAUAUAUAUAUAUAUAUAUAUACUCAAGCUCGUGAGCCGGCUCGCGAGCUAACGAGCUUAAUAUUCUGAGCUCGAGUUUGGCUCGAGCUCGACUCGAGUUUGACUCGAGCCGUUCGCGAGCGGCUCGAUUCGUUUGCAGCCCUAGUUACAACACCUUCUUCCAAUAAAUACUCGGAUGGAAAAUUGAUGAUUUUAUCCAACCUAGGACUUGAUGUGUGAGUUGGAGGGAGGGGGGAUUGUUGAAUUUAUUUCCCAUCAAUUCCAGGUAGUAACAAUGUGCUACUUAUUAAUAAGUACGAGGGAAAGUCUGUUUGGAAAGUCAUUUUCCGUCAAAAAAUUGCUACGUUUUCCGUGAAUACAUUUCUCUAUCACUUUUUUACCUCACAUACAUCAAAUCGCUACAGUAAUUUUUUUACAAAAAAUCCAGAAAAAUGCAAUCCAAACACAACCAAUUAAUAGUUCUUUGAGCCAUUUUUUUACAGUGAGAAAACUUAAUAGCACCCAAUAGUUGUCCAAAAUUUUACUAACAUCAAGUUGUCUAAAAAAUCUUACUAACAUCACGAACCGACUGAUGGUGGUGAUACAUUUUUUUGCACUUCUACUUUACAAGUUAACAAGAGGUUCUUUUGUUUAUCCCACUCAGAAUUCUUCUAACGAUUUCUUCUUUCUUGUUUCAAAGUUGGUAUCACUAAUGUGUAGAGGUGAUAUAUGACAGCAUUUUCAUCACAAAUUUGAACUAAUUUUAAAUUUUGAUAUAAUAAAUCAAUGUAAUAAUACUCCAAAUAUGAAAGAUAGAACUCGAGUUGAAGCCUGCAUUGGAGAUUGAAACCAUGAAAGCUCGACUUGGAAUGUCCAUCCAUAUGGAGCCAAGCUUGAAGAAAACUAGAAGUCUAUAAUAUGUAUGCUCAGUUCAGGCAACAAACUCAGCCAACAUUCUUUUUUCUAUCAGGUUACAAUUUUCGGCAAACAUCCUCCAUUUAUAUUUAUUUCUUUCCCUCGUAUAAGUUUCAUAGACCAUAAUGUUACGCAUGUCAACAGUAAGAUCCCAAUUUAAACCUCCCUUAAGGUAUGAAUUUGGCAUCUUCAUUUUGGGUACACAUUUCGCAAUUCUCUUGCAAGUUUCACUUGGAAUAAUACCACAUGUUUUUUCUCCAUUAGUCAGAGGAAAAAAAAAAAGAAAAAAAGAUGUCGGAUCUCCAUCAGCAUCUUCUAUUCUUUAUACAAUCAUGCAUGGACAAGAAAGUUUUCCGAUGAGCACAUACAACUUGUAACCAUGUGGCUACUUCAGUCCCAACGAUCGAGGGUCUUACUCAUGUCAUUCAACCCCAGUGUCUUGUAAGACAUAGGAGAUGGAAAAGAAACAGGAAAAAUGUAAAAGGUCCAGAUAAGGUCAACCAACUUAUCACUAACUUUAUAAGCAUCAAAUUGAUAUAGUCCAACUGGGCUCUUGUGAUGGGAACACCUGCAUAACGAGUCCUUCUGGUGGAAAAUUCUCAACUAUCUCGCGGUGACGAGGCAUAUCCAAAAUCUGUUGUCAUUAUUGUCUCGCUUGAACUGCUUUGUUGCUUGAUGGAUAUGACCACUAAAAGAAAACAAAAAUGUACACGUAACUUGCUUCCCAAUAUUCUGCAAUGCAACUUUUCAAAGAAAAACUGAAAAAGUUUAGUCCAUCAUAGAGAAGAUGAUGCCCACUUUGUAGUUCUUGGCACUAUAGCCACUGUCAAUUCUAGGCGACUGUGUUCUUCACGUUGCUGCGUUGCACCAAUCUUCCACGGUUUUCCGAAUCUUGUUUUCGUUUUCUCUUGCUUGCAGUUAUAUGUACUUUUCAUGUUUAUUUAUUUAUAAAAAAUCAUAAUUUCAUUCAUGAGAUCAGCAAUAAUGGUAGAAAACACAUCAUCAGACAUGUUACAAAAACAACAACAAAAUUUCUAUGACUUACAUACACACCAGAUUUGAGAAAAUAACGAAUAUUAAUUACAUAAUGAAUCUCCAAUCUAUUUCAGAUGAUAUCAAUCUCUUUGAACCCAAUAGAGAAACAUCUGUGCAUGUCUUCUCUUACUUGAUUUACCGUUUAACUGUUUCAAAUCCAUACAUCAAGUUGAGAUCUCAGAAAUUUCAAAUUUAGUAAACAACUUUGAAAGAUUGAAACUUGACAAAGAAAAAAAAAACGUAAACUACAAGUAAAUUCUCGCUAAAAAUCCUAAAAGAGAAGAUUCUCUCACUUUAAAAAAAUGACCCUUAAAAAACUCUAGGAGUAAGAAGUCUCUUAUUAAGAAACCCUAAAUACCGGAAACUCUCAUUAGAAAAACUUUAGCAGAUUCUCUCACUAGAAGGUCCUAGAAAAGUAUACGAGAAAUCUUAGGAGAGAAGGAUUUGGUGCUUUAGAAUAUUGAAUGGCUAGAAAGUCAUGAAUUCUGCUUUUGUGGGAGCAACACUCUUCAUGUUCUUAAGGUGUCGGGAUUUUAUCGUCCGUUUCGAAAUUCAGUUUCGGGGUUUUAUCUGUUAUCCUUAUCCAAAAUGAGCAAUUGAAUGUCAAUUUGUUGGUAGGAAGCUACGUGUGCACAUUUUUUACGGUUAAAAAAAAAAAAAAAAAAAAGGGAAAAUCCUAUUCUGAUCCACAAUUUAUAAAAUAGAAAUAAAUUAAAUGAUAUAUAGUUCAACUCUCCUUGAUUUUUAGACAUCUCAUAUUUGCAUCUAUCUAUCGCAUAGGCAUAUCAUCUUUUAAAAUCAUUUUUCCUAAGUAGACUCUAAAAGCAAGCGUGACACAAAGUUAAAAACUAGUGAUGCAACAUGAAUAAUGAUAUUUCUAUAUAUACCACAUCACAUCUAUUUAGUUGCCACCAAAAUUCUUUUUUAACACAAAAUGUACCAAGUAAAUUGAACAAGUGUUCGUGGGCAAAGUCGCAGCAAUGAUGAUCCGGAAUGUUUUCCCACGAAACAAAAGUACAGCGCUCGAAAAAGGUGGUGUUGCUCCCAGUUCCAGAUACCCAGAAUUGUACUCGUAACCCUAUCGGCCUAUAUUAGCCAAGCAAAAGUGGAGUGAGUAUAAAAUAAAAUAAAAUAAACUUUGAGACUCCUUAGGAUUCCCGAAAAUACGGCAGACAGUUUGGGGCUCUGACUCCCUCCAAUCAUGCUGUACACCCUGCAGCUUUUUUUGAGGCUUUGGCAAUCAUUGAGAUGGACAACGUUUGUGAAGCAAAAAAUGUCCAUUACGUAGACAAAUUCAUCGGGACAUCCAUUCUAGAAAAGAUUUAGACAAAAAAGAAUCCAGUUGGAAACGUACAAACACUAAACUCUUUUGUCUAGCAAGAAGCCGACGACGUUAGAAGUCAUGCAAAUCAAUUUUGAUUGCACUGAACCACUCAGCUUAGAUUCCUCUGCGGAUUAAGAUUCUUCUUUGGAAAGUAGAUUAGUAGAGGUUCGAACUCUACCUCUACAAUGAAAAAAAUUCAUUCAAAGUAGGUGUCAAAACACCCUUUUUAUCUAAUAGGUUAGUCCCUUAUGCACCGUGUUUUUAGCCUCCUCUCUUCCCUGGAUUAGGAUUAGAUUAUUAAGUUACAAAAAUGUUAUCAGUACCGUAAAAAAAAAAGAACUUUAAUUGCGCUGCACCAACGUAAGGUAGCCAGCAAUUUGGAUUAAAGAAUUCUAAUUUGGCUUCGUAACGUCUCAUUUCCUAUUCAUGUCAAUGAAUUACAGCAGCCCCCUUUUUUUUAAAAAAAAAAAAAAAAAAAUAAGCUGCUUCUGCUCAAGAAGUGUAAACAUGGAGUAUCGUAACCAAAAAUAGUAUGUGCAAGUAUAUCAUGUGGUGUACGUGUACUGUAUUUGUCCAUAAAUGGAUUUGCAAUUUAAGGACAAGUCCACAGUGAAAUUCAAAUACAGGCUUAAACAUUUAAGAAUUGGUAUAUAGUAGUAAUUCUUUUCAACCUUUGAAUGUGAUACAUAUAUAUAUAUAUAGACACACACACACAUAACCUUUAUUCACAUUUGCAAAAUUCCUUUUACCACCACACACCAGAUGUGUGUAUCUAUUUGUUGGUAUUAAGAAAAAAAAAGUCACAAUUAUAUUAUCCACGUGAGAAAAUUUCAACUAAAAUUUUGAGCUCUUUUUUUUUUCCCUUUUAAGGAGGGGGAGAAUUGAGUUUAAGAAGCUGGUAAUGAAACUAGAAAUCGGAAUCCAGGGCCUCUGAGUGUUAGUAACUUAACCUCAACUGCAAGAGCUGGAAAUGCAUAAUGUAUCCAUUUCCGGGAAGAAAAAGGCUGCGAGUCUCUAAAUUUUGGUAGCCCUUUUGGGGCUGAAAAGGAAAAGUUUGUCGGCCGUCGACGAAUUGUACGCACAACCGUUUAUCGAACUCGCAGUUCAGCAAUUAAUGUCAUUUUAUGCAUGUACUCCUCGUACGGACUGCUACCAUCCUGACAGCUAGCUGUUACUCUAAACCAGCUUCAUAUUAUAGUUUCAUUUAAUAUAACCCCUGGUCGGCGGGUACACAUAUUUCUGGUAGAUUCAGGAUCAUAUUCUGUUUAAAUGAAGCUUCAACAUUUUCAUUAAAUCUGGCCUCUUCUUGUACAUAAAUUAUAAAGUGAGGUACUCCAGCUUCCAUUGUAAGAGCAACCCUGCUUUGCGACAAUAAAUAGUCGACAUGUUCUAUCAAACUAAUGAAAAAGACUACAAAUAGUAGUGUCUCGGCUACUACUCCGCUUGUUUCUCCAACUAAGAAUAAACAUGACAUAUAUCAUCAUCAGUCAAAUACACUGAAUUGCUAUAUUAAAAUGUGGAGACUAAGCAGCAGCCCAAUACGAAAUAGCUGCUGGAGAUCUUAAUAUCUUAAACAUACUUGCCUCUAUAUUUUGGCUUUGAUUCCUUGCUGAAUUUUGUGCCCCCUGCAGCAUUAAGCUGCAUGUCAAGCGGACUAAAGACGGCUGAAUGAAGAUUGCCAUCUUCCAACCACUUGAGAUGGUUUUCCCUGAACUCCAAAUGUUUGAUUCUAGCUGCCUCUGCAAUGUCAUCUGUAUAUGGCGCAAUCUUCACCAUGGUUAACAACACACGACUGUACCUGAAGCUUAGGAUCUGCUCACAGCUUGCAACCAUUUUCAAACAUGGGUGCUCAGGAAAACUGGUAUCAAUUGUGUCUUCCUCUCUCAGUACAGGAUAGAAGUACACAAGCCUUCCACCCAUUACAAGCAUCCUAGCAGCAAGGUCAAGCAAGUCGUGUACACACUCCACUAAGCUGUAAGGAGCAGUGGAAGGUAUGUGGUCAUUCCUUUUGUCAUCAGGAACUGUAUACGGGCCCACUACCCCUUUCAAAAGCUUUCUGCCACCAGAUUUACGGCCCCCAGCACGAACUCCAUAAGGAGGAUCACAUAUUAUACAAUCAAACACCUAAAAGAAGCACAACGAAAUUCAUAAACCAUGCAGGCAAAGAACAUGCCCAAACACAAUCACGGGCAUACAAGUCUAACGAAUGAAAAAUGCUGUGCAUAAACGUACAGGCAGGAGCUUCUUUGUUUUUUUCUUUUUUAAUGCCAAACUCCAAGGCGACCAGCUACUAGGUUCUAUUACUAGGACCACCCUACUACACAGGGAAACCCUAUUCCAUUUAGCUCAGACAUAGGAUAUAAUACAAUUCCAUUGUCCCUGCCAAAUAAAGCUAUCUUACUUCUUGUAUUCAUAAAUCUUGACUAAAAGCAAGAGAAUGCAUUCACAAGUUAAUACAACUCCUCUGCUUCAAAAUAGCAGUGGAUGGCAGAUAUUUUAACUCUACAUCUGAGACUUUACCACCAAGAGAAAAAUGUUUUGUUCAUUGUCUGCUAUCCAGGUAAUGAUGGAAGAGAAUUUAGUCUUCUCUAUAAUGCUGGAGGGAUAGAAGGACAUGAGAAGUUUAGCCAUGACAAAGACUACCAGCCUUAGCAUGUUCUUAGGACUUGUGGGUCAAGAGGAAAACAAAAGAUUUUAAGGAUAAAAUGUCACAUGAAAGUCCUUGCUUAAUCUAUUCCAGGAGUAAGCAGUUCAUCCCACACAGUUAUUGAUAUGCUGGUGGACUACAGUGGUACAUUUUAAGCUAAUCCUUGUACCAGAUUUGUUUCAAGCUUUUUUUAACUGGAGAAGGGGGAAAAACUGUCAUUUAUUGUCCUUGACCAGGAUUACUUACCUCCUUUAGUCCAGGACGCCAAGGCGGGAGGUUGUUGUCUGCCCUCAACAGAGAAAUUGGCAUGGGCAAUCCAUACUGCCACGAAAGCCAUAUAGAUGAGCACUACUUUGUAAGUAUUCACAAAAAAAAUGUUGAAGUAUAAAGUUUCACUGCAUAAAACAAGAUAAAAAUAAUAAUCAUAAUAAUAGAAAGUCAAUUUCCGUAUCUUAACCUGUUUGAAAUUGGUCCAGACAUUACAAUCAGGACCACGACCAUCACGAACUACGCGAAUAUCGAUAUCUGCACCCUGAGAAAUUCACAUUAAUGGCACGCAAAAGCAAAAGAAAUCUUAAUGUUUUCAACCAAAUGUAAGGUAUCCAACCAGAAAUGUUAUGUGAAACAAAGCCUAGUAACAGAAGUUUUAGUGCACAUAAAAUCACACACCAUUGUCAUUGCUCCAAAAUGAGCUGCAGCAAUCAGGAUGCUUCCAGUACCAACAAAAGGAUCAUAGACAAGUUUCCCAGUUUUGGCCUGUGCUUGAUUGGCCAUCAGGAAAGCCAUCUCUGCAUCCAUGGCUGUGGGACCAAGGUAAGUGCGGCUUUUUAAUUGGUAAGUUGGCAGAAGCUUCCUAUCUGCAGCCCCAAUCUCUCGACCAAAAAAAAUUCUUCUGCAGACAAUGGGAGGAAGCCCAUUGUUAGAUCCGUAAUUAUCAGUUUCCAUGAGCCAGAACUUGUGAUCAGGGUGGCUUAGAUUGACCUGGCCCUGUAAGAACCAAGGUCACUUAGCAUCUGCUAACAACAGGAACUAUCACCAAAAAAAAAAAAAGAGGAACAAAGUUGGCAACUUCUAUGAACAAUGAUCCUUUCACCACAUUAAGAGGGACUAUGCAAAGAUCUGUACGUAUGUCCAAAGAUGACAGUUACCUUUACAGGUCUCACAAUUACCACCAUAGCUUAAUGCAGAAAAAGAAACACAAAAGUAAUGCUAGACCAAGAAAAUUUUAUGUACUUGCUGGUACCCACUAUCAUACCCUUCUUUCCCAAAACAUUAGAGAAACAAGAUAGGAAAGUUAUCAGUACAUCGAGAUUCUUAAAGGCAAAACAGAGCAAUUUAUCCAAGAUUGGUGUAUCAACGAAACAGAAGAGAAAGUAAGACCAUGGAGCAGAUGAAACACCUGAAACUCAAUUUCAGACACAAGACUGCAUGAGACUUUUCCUUUUAACCUGAAACUGCAAUAGUCAAAAAGUAGCACCCAGCACCACUUUGCAAGAUAUUAGAACACCUACCCACUUUUAAAUACUAAAAUUUACUUUGCAAUUCCAAUCAAUCAGGAAUACACUUUGUGAAACCAAAAUUCCUAAAAUAACUUUGACAUCAUACUCAUGAUGGGGGGAAAUGCAUUAUGUUGUGCCCCUAAUAAUGAGACAAUCAGAAAGGGAUACACAGAUACAGCUUCACAACUGUUUGGCAUAUGGGGAGGCAACCUUGCGGACUUAUCAAUGUUGGAGAUUUUAUAAUGUCUGAGUUCCUUUCACAUUGUUCUUACAAGUUACGAUUUUCAGACAAGGAAGGCAAAAAGGAAAAAGGAAUUUUAAGAAAACAAAAAAGAUAUCAUAAAUAGCUAUAAUCUUAUCUUCCAACAGGAAGCAUGCAGAAGUAAGGCUAGUUCAGAGAACCAAAAAAAAUUCGUAGCAUAGUCUACCAUCUAUCAAAAUAAUCCAAAUUAAAAGCCAUGCAAGGUAUCAUCUGACAUGAACAACAGAUAAUCUAAGCAACAGAAAAAGGAGAGGAUCAGAUCUUUAUACAAAUAGAAAAAGGAGAUAACCAAACCUUAAAUGGAAUGUAAGAGAGCUGUUGAAUACGAUCAUUCUGCUCUUGAAAGCUAACAACUUUCCCAAAACUGUCCACAGUAAUCUUGAAUGUGCUUCCAGAUGUAAGGUAUGGCAACUUCUGCUCAUCUGGACAACUUUUUAUAGCCUCUUCCAGCUCCUCAAAGCUACUUCCUUCACCCCAGAGCUCAUAAAUCCCUUUUACAAGAAUGCCUAAACAUCCAAGACUUCAAUUCGUCAUAUACUCAUUCACGCUUCAAGGUGACUAUUGACAAUAAGGAAAUAAUUGUGUUGAAUCAGAGGAAAAUCUAAAUUGAGCUCCAACCAAAAGGAAAAAUGGAUAUUUAUGGAAAAUUCUGAUCUGAGUAAAUGUCUAGUUAAACAAUCCCAAGAUAUAACAUGAUUUUCAACUUCCUUAACAAUCACGGUUAACUCCUUCAAAUGGAGUAAAUAUUCUCUGCUUUUACGCAAGAAAUGAGAAGCAUGCAAGGAUACGGAUAUUAAAUUGCAUAUAUGACAAGAAUGAUGAGGCGCAUAUAACAAUCCAGAACAAAGAUUAUCAACGAAUUAGCUGUAGGGGCUGUUGUCAACUAGCAUAUUAACAUUUGUCUGGACACCGUGCUUCUCUACAACCUAAAUGAAGAUCUAUAAAAACUCGGCAGUACCCAUAACCAAUUGAAAAGAAAAAUUUUAGUCUAAUUUUCUUUAGCUAUAAAACUUACUCUUCUUCUUAAAAGCAAGCUAACAAAAACAUACCCUCCACUGCAAACAACAUAUUAUGAGGAGAAUAUAUUCAAGCGCAACAGCUAUUACAGCCACUUCAGUUUAAGCAGCAAGAUUCAGUAUUCUUUUCCCCUUCUACUACGAGAAGGCCCCAAAGAAAAAACACAAUAAAUUAUCAAAAUAACAAAAAUAAUUGGAGGUAAAUAUAGUAAAUAAUAAACAAAAGAAUGUAUUAGACAAACAAAAGGAGAUCCCUUGUUGCUUACUUCUAUUGGCUAUAUUGCAGGCGAUUUGUUCAGAUGGAAGAUUAACAAAAUGGAAGGGAGAAUCAGGGUGGUGGUCCUCUGGAAGCCUCCACUCAAGCGACUUCGAUUGUGGGUCGGUUUCUUUAUCAAAGGCCCCAAAGAGGUCUGCUAGAGAUUCCACCUCCGGCCUUCUGUAGUCCAGCAACCUGUGGUAAAAUACGCAUAGAUACCACAUUAUUUUGUGCUUCCUUUUCUUUUGCUAACUUUUAUUUUUCGCAGAGAUAGUAGGACAGAGUGGUGGUCGCCCAAGUUGUUAACAGCGGACGGCGGCUGCCGGAUGGCGGCGGAGGAGCUGUACUACUCCUCCAGAAGUGAGGUGUUCCGAUACCAAAAUCCAAAACCCAAAACGCCAAAGCCCUGCCACCGCGCAAGGAUGUUCCGCUAAUAAGUUUAGUCACACGUUCUUUUCUAAGUUAAAUUAAAAAUAUGUGGGGGACUCCAAUUUUUGGCAUCAAAAUAUAACUGGUUUUUAUUAAUCGAAAGUGUUGCGACGUUAAAAAUUCAAAUUAAGUUAUACUACAUAAAUAUUUUUUAUUGAAUUUGACCUUCAAAAUGUCAAUUCAGUUGGAAUUAAGAAUUUAUAUUGAAUGCAGCAACGUUCAAGAAAUCUCAUUCAAGUUAAAAUUAAGAACUUGUACGGACUGUGAAUCUCAAAAAAUUAAAUUCAGUUAAAUUUGAAAUUUUGUUUUGAAUGCAAAUUCAAAAAAUUAAAUUAAAUCAAACAUAAAAACUUUUUACUGGAUGUGGUGUUCAAAAUAACUACGUUGGUUAAGUUAAGAUUUUGUAAUCAGUGUGGUGUCCAAGAAAUUAUAUUCAGUUAAUAAAAAAUUUUGUCGUAAACAUGACUUUUAACGGAUCAAAUUAAGUUAAAUUCAAAAUUUUGUAUUGAAUUCAAGUUUAAAAGAUCAGGUUAAACCUAAAAAUUUUUGUCGAAUGUGACCUUCACAAUAUCAAAUUUAUUUAACAUCAAGAAUUUCGUAGUAAGUGUGACUUUCAACAAAUCAAAUUCAAUUAAAUUCAAAGUUUUGUACUAAAUCUCUUUUGCUUUUUUGCAGGUGUUUGCAUCCAUAUGCUUAUUAUUGUACACACGCAUUCAAAAAUCUGUACGUAUAUAUAUAUAUAUAUGCAAGUGUAUGUCUCUUGACCUUUUCUAAACUGAAGUUUAAAAAUUCGGCUUUUAUAAAACUAAUCCCAGAAGAAACCUCAAAAGCCGGCAACUCUUGAGGUCGUCCCAGGGACUUAUAAACCAAACCCAAACCCCCCCCCCAGAACCGAUGUAUGCAAGUGUAUGUAGUAGUAUGCAAUUUAAAUAUUUGACUGAUUACAUAUAGUAGUAACUCUUUAAGUUAAUUGGAUAUUAAGUACCAUUCAUUCCAACAGUUGACUAUAUUUUGAAUCGAAAUAAUUGUCAAUCAAUUAUGUUUUGAUAAUACUUUGAUGAAUUGGCCUCCAUCCUGUUUAAAAACUGGCAAAACCUUCGUGCAAAAUAUCCUUUUUGAAGUUGUGUGAUUUUGUCCUCCCAAUCGACGGUUAAUAAGGCAGAAGAUAAGCAACAACUGGCUAUUUCUUUCAUAUCACAUACAUAUAUAUAUAUAUGUCCUAAUAUGCAGUGGUACAUCAAAGUCACGAAAGUCUUUCAAAUACAUAUGCUGAUAUGCAACUAGGCAAGUAAAUCUUAAGCUAUUGAUUUCUUCUUGAUCCUUUUUUUCUCCCCACUCUCUCCCUUCCCACUUUACGUCUGGGGAUACGUCUGGGGAAUAAAAAUUUGCAGCACAGAUGCAGAGUCAAACAUGCCUUUUUCCCCUCUUUCCAAGUUAAUUUGUGAAUUGUGCGGAACAAUCUUAACAGUUGAGCAGAAUUCUCGAAUUGCCAUCUACACGAAUAUGACCUCAAAUUUAGCACAAGGAUUGCUUUCUAUGUGAUUUCUAAACUCACUGUCCCCCUUAAAUGUAAAGGUAUACAAUGCCUGUCUCUGUGUCAUGCCAAGAGGAUAUAUUC
rnacentral:lncRNA from 1 species